UAUCAAGUCAUUUAUAAAGAACACAUGCUAACUGUUUCAUAUAAUAUUCAUAUCCAUUUGAGAGCAAAACUCGUAUUCGUGGAUAUUAUGUGGUUAUCAAAUGAUACAUUAAUUGAUACAUUCUUUACAUCAAUUAGAGAUGCACGCUCCCUCUCUCCAUAUAUAUAAUUUACAUAUUUAUGAUUUCCAUUAGGUGACACCUAGGGGGACACGUGGGGAACCUAGGGGAAAUAUAUAAAUAGUGUGAGAAUGACUCACAAAUCAUUCUUCAUCCGUGAUUAGCAACUACGAAUACAACAAAAAAACUUAAGAAAAUUUUGAAGGAUUCUCGGCCAAGUUGAAUCUUGCCGAGAAUUGAGAAGUUGAAGGAGGAAAUUGUAUAUUUCAAAUUGUUGUAUAUAUUCAAGGAUUCCAACGUGAAUUGAUUUUCGGAGUCAAGUUGAGAAAGGCUAAAAGAGCGACGAGGCGAACGGAUUUACGAAUAGCCUCUAACAGGGGGGCUGUGUUUCAUGCCCGCAGGUAUAGACGCUCGUUUCGGAGAUCCGCCAGCCUAGGAUAUCUAUUCAGCUAUUUUGGAGUGCUCCUUUGUUCCGGAUCCUAGCUUUGUGGUAUAGAUCCCUUUUGUUGUAUAUAUAUGUGUUUGUUCAAGGUACGGCGGGGCCCUGUCCCGUCAUAUGAUAUUGUUGUUACGCUUAGAGGUCUGUAGACAUAUGUGUGGGUCUGUAUAUAGUUGUUGUUUCGUUGUGUGGACAUGACUUAUGUGUGGGACGUACCCAUUCGUAGUGGCAGCCUUGUCGGCUUGCGUAGAUAUAUAUAUAUAUAUAUAUAUAUUUGUUGUGGAAGGUGUGUAUAAUGGUAGCCUUGUUGGCUUAUGUAUUACUGGGACGUUCCCCUAUAUAUGACAACCUUGCCAUCUUAUGUGCGAUAUAAUCUGUUGAAAGUUGUAACUCCUCAGGAGACAGGUGGCUAUGACAUGCAUAUAUGCAACAGCUUUAGAGUAACAUCUUGUCUUUAUAUAUAUAUAAGUUCUUGUCAUGCUAGCUGUAGCUGAUUAUAGUUAAUAGGUGUAUACGAGUGUCCAGCUCGGGCAAUAGUCACGGCCUACGGGGUUGGGUCGUGACAAAAGUGGUAUCAGAGCAGUUCAUCCUCGGAGUGUCUACAGACCGUGUCUAGUAGAGUCUUGUUUAUCGGUGUGUUGUGCACCACAUCUAUAAACAGGAAGCUACAGGACAUUUAGGAUGUUACAUUUCUUUCAUAUCUAAGAUCGUGCGAUAGAGCUGAGUCAUAGGAAAUGAUAUUCCUUAUA